rnacentral:lncRNA from 1 species
UUAAACAGAUGAGACCUUGCAGCUAUUAGUGUGAAACAGAGACAGGGGAGAGACGACAGAUCUGAUUCACCGAACAUGUCGGGAGGGUCAGGAGGAUCAGGAGGGUCGGGGGCAGGGAUCCCACCAAGCAGGUCUAGAGGAAGAACAGAUGGCGGCGGUUCAGGAGGUGGAGGAAGGAGCAACAAUGACUCUGAGACUGGAGAAGUCACCAUUAACCCCAUGGAAGAAAGAAAGGGGAGGGAAAAAGAAGAGUUUCUCACCGGAAGGCGAGAGGCCAGACCGGCGGCGGCAAAUGAAGGUUCAAAACCCUAAUCGCCUUGGAGUCUCAUGGAGAGAGAAACUUAACU